rnacentral:rRNA from 1 species
UGCCCUGGUCAUGCCCAGUCUUGUUGGAGCACGGCCAGGUCUGGUUAUUACUGUGGAUGGGGGACCACAUGGGAAUACCAGGUGCUGUGGCUA